rnacentral:rRNA from 1 species
CACGCUGUAAACGAUGAUCACUCGUUGUUGGCGAUACACAGUCAGCGGCUAAGCGAAAGUGAUAAGUGAUCCACCUGGGGAGUACGAUCGCAAGGUUGAAACUCAAAGGAAUUGACGGGGGCCCGCACAAGCGGUGGAGCAUGUGGUUUAAUUCGAUGAUACGCGAGGAACCUUACCUGGGCUCAAAUGCAAGUUGACGUAUGGUGAAAGCUGUAUUUCUUCGGACAAUUUGCAAGGUGC